rnacentral:antisense_RNA from 1 species
CUUCAGCGACCCGAGCCACAGCGGCCGGUCCGCCGGCCGAUCGCGGCCGUACGUCGCCAGGAGCGCCUGCGCCUC